UUUCUGUGCUCAAUGGUAGAGUGCUUGCCUAACAUGCAUGAGGCACUGGGUUUGAUCCUCAGCACCACAUAAAA
rnacentral:tRNA from 1 species